ensembl:miRNA
AUCACCUGGGGAUCUUAUUAAAAUGCAGAUUCUGAUUUAGUAUGUCUGGGAUGGGGCCUGAGAUUCUGCAUUUCUAACAAGCCCCCAGGUGCUGCUGCU